rnacentral:rRNA from 1 species
CUCAAAGAUUAAGCCAUGCAAGUGGCUAUACACAACCCGACAGUUUAAAUUAGUGUUAAUACUAUUUCAAUUACACAAACUCAUACACAAACAUAUACAUCACUUACUAAUGUAAGUCACAACGCUUAAGUGAAAUGAAAUUUGACUAUCAUAUCACUAACGCAACUGCAGACAGCUGCUUAAUACAGUCACACUUGUCUUGACUUUGCACUGAUUCUAUUGAAUUUGUCAUUUGACUCACAAACACACACAUACAUGCACAUAUACACACACAAACGAAGUGCACAGAUAAUGAUUUAUUCAAACAAGAAAAAUAUUUUCUUGGAUUCCCUUACUGAUUUUUGUUUCAAAAAUCAAGUAAUUCCAAAAAAUACAAAAACACACAUUUUAUGGAUAACUCAGGGAAAGUUUGGCUAAUACGUACGAGAUACAAUUCAUUUGAAUUUUUCUCACGCUCUUAUUGGUAAAUUUGGUGAGAUUUUGUCCAAAGACAAUUGUUCUGUGCGUUAAAACACAAAAUGUUGUUCUUAUUAUGGACAUUAUCUUAUUCUUCAAAAUUUAUACGCAACAUGAGAGACAAUAAGUACGUCUGGGCAGUUUGCUUGCGGGUUGUCACAACAGGCUGAGCAGACUUUGCGAAGAAAUUCGUGAAGCAGGUCAUACAAGCAUCUACAGCAUCAAGUCACAGGGUUGGCAAGUGUAUUUUUGAACCUUCAAAGCAGUCACGCAUACGGAAGAGUAGUUUCUGAUCCCAUAGAAGGAGCACCGUACGAUGAGAGACCGCUCUUAGUUCUAAGGAACGCAGCAGGCGCGUAAAUUGCCCAAUGCUAGUACCCUACACGUUUUUUCAUCAACAUCUACAUACAAACACAAAUACAAAUGAACAAAAGUGUUACAAUACUUAUGCAAAGGCAUUACAAAAAUAUUUUUUGUAUUAACACACAACAAACACACACACAUACACACACAUGUAAAUUAUUUACAACAACCUUGUUACAAAGCCAAAGAAAUUGUAAUGCUUUUAUUAUUGCAUCGUGUUGUCGCAUUAAUUGCACAACUAGAUGUAGAAAUGAAAACACAUUUACACUGAGGCAGUGACAAGCUGUAACGGUUGAGUAUACAAUCUAGAGAGUGUUCGGCAUUGUCGUACAGUCUUCGGGCUGUGCUUGACUUUUUGCUAGCACUUUACAUGCUCAAUUGGAAUGCGGUGAGUUUAAGCAACUCAGAACCUUUAUUAGUGUGGACAUCAUGUUUGCACUUUUUGAGUAUCUGAAAUUUCAAGUGGAGGGCAAGUCUGGUGCCAGCAGCCGCGGUAAUACCAGCUCCACUGGCCUAUACAAUCAUUGUUGCGGUUAAGAGGCUCGUAGUUGGAUUGAACACUUUUGUGCAUGUUUUGAAUUAAUUGAAAAUAUUGCAAAAUACAAAAGUUUUCGACACAUAGUACUAACAAUCACACUUACAAAUACAUUUACAUAUUAAAAUGUUUUCAUUUUGAUUUUAAAUCAACUUUGUUGUUGGGAAAAAUUUGUUGUAUUGAACCUAUUACUCUUGUAAAAAGAGUAUUGUUCAACACUGUGAACAAAUCAGAGUGUAUCAAACAUGUUGUUUCUUACUUGUGCAUUGAAUGUCUUAUCAUGGAAUGUUGCACUUGUAAUUCUACAAACAAUAUGAACAAUUUGACUACGAAACCAACUCUAUCAAAAACACAAACACUGAUUUAUUUUAUUGAUGGAGAUUUGAACUCAUACAACAUACAAACACACACACACAGUAUGAAUUUAAAGUUCAAACAAUUACAGUGAUUUUAAAAUUUGUUGACAUUUUAUUAUCAUUUUCGUUUGUAAUUACUUGUGUCGAUGGGGAUAGUUGGAGUCAAGAGUACUGCUGGGCGAGAGGUGAAAUUCUCUGACCCUAGCAAGACUACCAAAAGCGAAAGCACUUGACUAGGCUAUACUCUUUGUGCUUUUUGUUUAUCUUCAUUUACAUUGUACAUUAAGUAUCACACACACACACACAUAACUAUAAUGGUACAACAAUGUGUAAUUGUACUUGAAUUUUCUAACAAAAUUACACUUUACAAUGAAGAACGAAGGUUGGGGGAUCAAAGAGGAUCAGAUACCCUCGUCGUCCCAUUCAUUACAUCAAACGAUGGGCUCUCAAUUGCAUUUUUUAUAAUGGCAUUUGUCCUCAACCUGCAAAUAUUUUGGGCUUGAGCAUUCUCUUUUAAUCUUUAAAGAGUAUUGCUCGCCUGUAUUAUUUGUGUACUGGUCUCGUAGUGAUAUUUACUAUUGCAUAUAUCAUGAUUUUCAAGACGUGUUUUUCACUACUAUUGUGAUAACACUUGAUUAUCGGAGCUUUGCGCUCAAUUGGUGAGAUGUAAGCACAAUACAAACUGCCCAUCUCUGUUUUGUAAUAGUCUUUCAUUUAAUUUAAAUAGAAGGCUGUUCUAGCGGAGGUUGGUGUAGUUUUGUAAUUCUAAUUCGUGCAAAGCACGCUUUAGGCACGCGCUUACUGCAGAAAUGUCUGAGACAUUCCCCUCCGGGGGUAGUAUGCACGCAAGUGUGAAACUUGAAGGAAUUGACGGAAGGGCACCACAAGAACGCGUGGAGCAUGUGGCUUAAUUUGACUCAACGCGGGAAANCUUACCGGGUCCGGACACACUGAGGAUUGACAGGCGCAAAAUGUAUUUUUUUUAAAUGCAUAUACAAAUAUGCUAGUCCUUUCAUGAUUAUGUGAUAGGUGGUGCAUGGCCGUUCUUAGUUCGUGGAGUGAUCUGUCUGCUUAAUUGCGUUUCACAGCGAAUUUAUUACUAUGUACGUGAUGCAGCUGUUUAGCCAUUUGUUUUUAAAUGCAAGUGCGCUUGUAACGUUGUGUCAUUUCGUGCAAACAAAUUCGGAAAGCAACGAACGUGACCGCAACCUCUCGUUGCCUUUAUUUUUCUUCAUAACAGUAUUUAUACUGGAAUGUAAGAAAAGAACAUUGAGUUUUCAAAGAAUGAAUGUUAUAUUUUUUUAAAUGUAAUUAUUUGUUCUUUUGUGUCUUUUUGUUUCAUUAAGGCCUAAAACUAGAGGGACCGCUGUCCUAAACUUUUAAACCAGAGGAAGGAUGCGGCAAUAACAGGUCUGUGAUGCCCUUCGAUGUUCCGGGCUGCACACGUGCUACAAUGAUUAUGGCAGUGAGCAUCUUAUUUCAAAGCUACCACAGUUUAUUGCACACUUUAAACGCAGUGUAGUGCGAAUUUUUCAUACACGCUUACUUAAAAAAGUAAUAGUUGCUUCUUGUUUCGAAAUUUUUGUUCAUGUUUCAUUGGCACUUGAUCAUUUUUUGUUCUUGUGUUGAUGAACUUGUCAAGUUUUUUGUUGAUGAGUUGCAAAUUUUGCUUUGAGCAUGUUUGUUUAAUUCAAUCUCAUUGUUAGUGCAUAUUCGUUGUGGUUUAGCUAAGCCUGCUUCGAAAGUGAGUGGGUAAGCAAUUGAAAGUCAUGAUUUCCAUAUUAGCUACAAACUACACAUCUGCUGAGUUGAUAAAGGUUUUAUUUUUAUAUUAAUAUGGCUUUCAGUUGUAUUAGUAUUUGCAAUAAUCCUUAAUGCGACCCGGAUAUGUUGCUACAAUUAAAAUUCAAGGUGGGGACAGACCAUUGUUAAUUGUUGGUCUCGGUCCUAACUAGGAAUGCCUUGUACGGGUCUUGGUUCAACAAACCACCCGGAAUACGUCCCUGCCCUUUGUACACACCGCCCGUCGCUCUUACCGAUGGACUUCUCUGUGAGUUUGAAGGACUGGAUUUGCACUCUGAUAUUUUUCGGAAUAUUGGUUUCGUCUAUGGAAACUCAAACGAACAGGGUGGUCUAAAGGAAAGAGAAGUCGUAACAAGGCAUCGGUAGGUGAACCU